rnacentral:rRNA from 1 species
GUUAUAUGGUCAAGUGAAUAAGCGCAUAUGGUGGAUGCCUAGGCGGUAAGAGGCGAUGAAGGACGUAGUAGCUUGCGAUAAGCCUCGGGGAGUCGGCAAACUGACUUUGAUCCGAGGAUUUCCGAAUGGGGAAACCCACCCAGCAUAAGCUGGGUAUCGUUAGCUGAAUAUAUAGGUUAACGAGGCAAACCCGGGGAACUGAAACAUCUAAGUACCCGGAGGAAAAGAAAUCAACCGAGAUUCCCUGAGUAGCGGCGAGCGAAAGGGGACCAGCCCUUAAGCUGUUGAUGAGUUAGUGGAACAGUCUGGAAAGUCUGGUGAUACAGGGUGACAGCCCCGUACACGAAAAUGACUCAGCAGUGAAAUCGAGUAAGGCGGAGCACGUGAAACUCUGUCUGAACAUGGGGGGACCAUCCUCCAAGGCUAAAUACUCCUUACCGACCGAUAGUGAACCAGUACCGUGAGGGAAAGGCGAAAAGAACCCCUUUUAGGGGAGUGAAAUAGAACCUGAAACCGUAUGCGUACAAGCAGUCGGAGUCCCGCACCUAAAUUAUUUUGGGUGCAAGCGCUGCAACGCUUUUAGAGAUUGUGCCAGGUGGAUAAGUGAAGUGAUCUGAAAAGGAAUUUAGGUGCGGGAUGAAUCCCGCAAAGGCAAAAUCGAAAUGUUCUAUGUUUAUGUGCUGCAGUCAAAGACAAGCAGUGAUCGGUUUUACCUGGGUAGUACGAGAGAUUUGAGAAAGCGAUUGGAAUCUCACAACCUGGGGGAAAACAAGGCGACGCAAGGAGAUCAAUGGAACUUGGUCUACUACGAAGCCUAUGUAGAGCUAAAGUCAGCAAGGGAUCGCGAACAUAAACUAAAGCAUGAUGGAAGAGCGAAGUGUUAUUUAAUGCAACGCAUCAAAGAGAGUCUAAGGUGAACGGGGCUUGUCCCGUACCUAAAUUCCAGAGAAGUGUGUAGAGGCUGGAAUGGACUGGAACCUGAGAUGUGUUGUAUAGCCUAAAUGCCAGAGUAAUUUAGGUGCGGGAUGACGGCGUACCUUUUGUAUAAUGGGUCAGCGACUUACUUCUCAGUAGCAAGCUUAACCGAAUAGGGGAGGCGUAGGGAAACCGAGUCUUAAUAGGGCGAAUUAGUUGCUGGGAGUAGACCCGAAACCGGGCGAUCUAUCCAUGGCCAGGGUGAAGGUGGAGUAACAUCUACUGGAGGCCCGAACCCACUUAUGUUGAAAAAUGAGGGGAUGAGCUGUGGAUAGGAGUGAAAGGCUAAUCAAGCCCGGAGAUAGCUGGUUCUCCUCGAAAGCUAUUUAGGUAGCGCCUCAUGUAUCACCACCGGGGGUAGAGCACUGUUACGGCUAGGGGGUCAUCCCGACUUACCAACCCGUUGCAAACUCCGAAUACCGGUGAGUGCAAUCAUGGGAGACAGACGGCGGGUGCUAACGUCCGUCGUCAAAAGGGAAACAACCCAGACCGCCAGCUAAGGUCCCAAAAUCACAUCUCAGUGGGAAACGAUGUGGGAAGGCAUAGACAGCUAGGAGGUUGGCUUAGAAGCAGCCAUCCUUUAAAGAAAGCGUAAUAGCUCACUAGUCGAGUCGGCCUGCGCGGAAGAUUUAACGGGGCUUAAGAUGUGUACCGAAGCUGCGGAUGCAGACUUGUUCUGCAUGGUAGAGGAGCGUUCUGUAGGCCGUUGAAGGUGAACUGUAAGGUUUGCUGGAGGUAUCAGAAGUGCGAAUGCUGACAUGAGUAACGAUAAAGGGGGUGAGAGGCCCCCUCGCCGAAAGCCCAAGGUUUCCUGCGCAACGCUAAUCGGCGCAGGGUUAGUCGGCCCCUAAGACGAGGCAGAGAUGCGUAGUCGAUGGGAAGCAGGUCAAUAUUCCUGCACCUCUUGUUACUGCGAUGGAGGGACGGAGAAGGCUAGGUCAUCCGGGCGUUGGUUGUCCCGGUUUAAGCGAGUAGGGAGUGUUCUUAGGUAAAUCCGGGGACACAAUUCUGAGACGUGAUGACGAAGCACCCUUUGGGUGUGAAGUGAUUGAUGCCAUGCUUCCAGGAAAAGCUUCUAAGCUUCAGGUAACAAGAGACCGUACCCCAAACCGACACAGGUGGGCAGGGUGAGAAUCCCAAGGCGCUUGAGAGAACUCUGGUGAAGGAACUAGGCAAAAUAGUACCGUAACUUCGGGAGAAGGUACGCCUCCUAGGUGAAGCAUUUACAUGUCGAGCUAUAGGAGGUCGCAGUGACCAGGUGGCUGCAACUGUUUACUAAAAACAUAGCACUCUGCAAACACGAAAGUGGACGUAUAGGGUGUGACGCCUGCCCGGUGCCGGAAGGUUAAUUGAUGGGGUUAUCUUCGGAGAAGCUCUUGAUCGAAGCCCCGGUAAACGGCGGCCGUAACUAUAACGGUCCUAAGGUAGCGAAAUUCCUUGUCGGGUAAGUUCCGACCUGCACGAAUGGCGUAAUGAUGGCCACGCUGUCUCCACCAGAGACUCAGUGAAAUUGAAAUUGCGGUUAAGAUGCCGCAUACCCGCGGCUAGACGGAAAGACCCCGUGAACCUUUACUACAGCUUCACACUGGACUUUGAACCUACUUGUGUAGGAUAGGUGGGAGGCUUUGAAGCCGAGACGUCAGUCUUGGUGGAGCCAUCCUUGAAAUACCACCCUGGUAUGUUUGAAGUUCUAACCUAGGCCCGUUAUCCGGGUCAGGGACAGUGUGUGGUGGGUAGUUUGACUGGGGCGGUCUCCUCCCAAAGAGUAACGGAGGAGCACGAAGGUACCCUCAGCGCGGUCGGAAAUCGCGCAAUGAGUGCAAAGGCAUAAGGGUGCUUGACUGCGAGAUAGACACAUCGAGCAGGUACGAAAGUAGGUCUUAGUGAUCCGGUGGCUCUGUAUGGAAGGGCCAUCGCUCAACGGAUAAAAGGUACUCCGGGGAUAACAGGCUGAUGGUGCCCAAGAGUUCAUAUCGACGGCACCGUUUGGCACCUCGAUGUCGGCUCAUCACAUCCUGGGGCUGAAGUCGGUCCCAAGGGUAUGGCUGUUCGCCAUUUAAAGUGGUACGCGAGCUGGGUUUAGAACGUCGUGAGACAGUUCGGUCCCUAUCUGCCGUGGGCGUUUGAGAUUUGAGGGAAGCUGCUCCUAGUACGAGAGGACCGGAGUGGACGAACCCCUGGUGUUCCGGUUGUCACGCCAGUGGCACUGCCGGGUAGCUACGUUCGGACAGGAUAACCGCUGAAAGCAUCUAAGCGGGAAGCCCCUCCCAAGAUAAGAUCUCACUGGACCUUUAAGGUCCCUGAAGGGCCGUUGAAGACUACAACGUUGAUAGGCUGGGUGUGGAAGUUCAGUAAUGGAUGAAGCUAACCAGUACUAAUUGCCCGUGAGGCUUGACCAUAUAACACCCAAACACUU